GAUAUACUCCCUCCGUCCAAAAAUACUUGUCGUUGAAAUGGAUAAAUAUAGAUGUAUCUAGAACUAAAAUAUGUCUUGAUACAUCCAUUUCUAGGACAAGUAUUUCCGGACAGAGGGAGUAGUUG
rfam:Triticum aestivum genome assembly, contig: Triticum_aestivum_CS42_TGACv1_scaffold_049503_1BS